CGAACGGAGUACCCUUGAAGGAGUUUUCGGACAACUGAUAGGACUACUUAGUGGCGGACGGGUGAGUAACGCGUGAGUAACCUGCCUUGGAGUGGGGAAUAACAGCUGGAAACAGCUGCUAAUACCGCAUAAUGCAGUUGGGUCGCAUGGCUCUGACUGCCAAAGAUUUAUCGCUCUGAGAUGGACUCGCGUCUGAUUAGCUAGUUGGCGGGGUAACGGCCCACCAAGGCAACGAUCAGUAGCCGGACUGAGAGGUUGGCCGGCCACAUUGGGACUGAGACACGGCCCAGACUCCUACGGGAGGCAGCAGUGGGGAAUAUUGGGCAAUGGGCGCAAGCCUGACCCAGCAACGCCGCGUGAAGGAAGAAGGCUUUCGGGUUGUAAACUUCUUUUUUCAGGGACGAAGAAAGUGACGGUACCUGAGGAAUAAGCCACGGCUAACUACGUGCCAGCAGCCGCGGUAAUACGUAGGUGGCAAGCGUUAUCCGGAUCUACUGGGUGUAAAGGGCGUGUAGGCGGGGAAGCAAGUCAGAUGUGAAAACCACGGGCUCAACCUGUGGCCUGCAUUUGAAACUGUUUUUCUUGAGUACUGGAGAGGCAGACGGAAUUCCUAGUGUAGCGGUGAAAUGCGUAUAUUUUAGGAGGAACACCAGGGGGGAAGGCGGUCUGCUGGACAGCAACUGACGCUGAGGCGCGAAAGCGUGGGGAGCAAACAGGAUUAGAUACCCUGGUAGUCCACGCUGUAAACGAUGGAUACUAGGUGUGGGGGGACUGACCCCCUCCGUGCCGGAGUUAACACAAUAAGUAUCCCACCUGGGGAGUACGAUCGCAAGGUUGAAACUCAAAGGAAUUGACGGGGGCCCGCACAAGCGGUGGAGUAUGUGGUUUAAUUCGAAGCAACGCGAAGAACCUUACCAGGGCUUGACAUCCCGAUGACCGCUCUAGAGAUAGAGUUUUCUCUUCGGAGACAUCGGUGACAGGUGGUGCAUGGUUGUCGUCAGCUCGUGUCGUGAGAUGUUGGGUUAAGUCCCGCAACGAGCGCAACCCUUAUUGUUAGUUGCUACGCAAGAGCACUCUAGCGAGACUGCCGUUGACAAAACGGAGGAAGGUGGGGACGACGUCAAAUCAUCAUGCCCCUUAUGUCCUGGGCCACACACGUACUACAAUGGUGGUCAACAGAGGGAAGCAAUACCGCGAGGUGGAGCAAAUCCCUAAAAGCCAUCCCAGUUCGGAUCGCAGGCUGCAACCCGCCUGCGUGAAGUUGGAAUCGCUAGU
rnacentral:rRNA from 1 species